UACGUAGGUGACAAGCGUUGUCCGGAAUUACUGGGCGUAAAGGGCGCGUAGGCGGUCGUGACAAGUCACUUGUGAAAUCUCCGGGCUUAACUCGGAAAGGUCAACUGAUACUGCGGGGCUAGAGUGCGGAAGGGGCAACUGGAAUUCUCGGUGUAGCGGUGAAAUGCGUAGAUAUCGAGAGGAACACCUGCGGCGAAGGCGGGUUGCUGGGCCGACACUGACGCUGAGGCGCGAAAGCCAGGGGAGCGAACGGG
rnacentral:rRNA from 1 species